AAGGGUUCCGACAUCGCUGCUUACACUCCUAGAUUCUGUGAUCUGGCGCUUCUCUGUCCGGGAAUGGUCACCCCGGAAAGCAAGAAAAUCGAGAGGUACAUCUGGGGACUGACGCAACCCACCAAAGGAAAUGUCUUGGCUGCUAGGCCAACUACGUUUGAAAGCGCCAAGGAUCUGGCACAAACUCUGAUCGAUCAUGGAAUCGAUCUGGAUGAAGUGACAACUGUCCCUGGACCCCAAAAGGAUAGNGGCACAAACUCUGAUCGAUCAUGGAAUCGAUCUGGAUGAAGUGACAACUGUCCCUGAACCCCAAAAGGAUAAGAAGUCUGGCAACAAGCGAAAGGGUCAGUCUUCGCAGGAGCCCUCCAAGAAACAACAAAUAGUAGCAGUUCAUGCUGUUACUGCUCCUGCUGCUGCUCCCACUGCUGCUCCAACCACCCAAUCUCCUACGGGUGGUUAUGCUGGAAAGCUACCCCUGUGCAACAAGUGUAACAUCCAUCAUCACAGGCCCUGCCGUGAGUUGAUCUGCAACAACUGUGGGAAGAAGGGACGCACAGCUCGAUACUGCAAGACACCGGCUCAACCAACCAACCAGGCCCCGGGAGCGGACGCUGGUCAGACUUGUUAUGGAUGUGGAGAGGCUGGGCACUACAGGAGAAACUGCCCCAAAGCAUCAACUGGUGGCAAUACAGGGAGAGUUUUGGCUAUGGGCCAGAAUGAAGUAGUUGCUGAUCCUACCGUUGUUACGGGUACGUUCCUCCUUGACAAGGUGGAUUUC
rnacentral:lncRNA from 1 species